UAGGUGAACCUGCGGAAGGAUCAUUAAUGAAAUGAAUGUCGAGAAGGGUUGUAGCUGNCCUUCCGGGGCAUGUGCACACCUUGAUCGCACAUCACACACACCUGUGCACUAUGUGUAGCUUAGGGAUGAUUACAAUGUUGGAAACAAUAUUGAAAGCUCUAGCUAUGAUUUUUUAUACACCCAUAUACAAAAAGUUAAAGAAUGGAUAAUGUUAUAUAGCGUGUAAUAGCGCAAAUAUAUAUAUAUAUACAACUUUCAGCAACGGAUCUCUUGGCUCUCGCAUCGAUGAAGAACGCAGCGAAAUGCGAUAAGUAAUGUGAAUUGCAGAAUUCAGUGAAUCAUCGAAUCUUUGAACGCACCUUGCGCUCCUUGGUAUUCCGAGGAGCAUGCCUGUUUGAGUGUCAUGAAAUUCUCAACUACCCUUAUUAACAUUUUAUGUGUUAAGGGUGAAGUUGGAGUUGGAGGAUAAUUGCUGGCGCAACUCUCUCUAAGGUUGCUUGUUGGCUCCUCUUGAAUGGAUGAGCUUUUCUAAUGGAUCAUAGCUCAGUAACACUAAUGUGAUAAUUAUCUACGUUAGAUGUGAAAACUAUGAGUAGAGUGGAAGCUCCUAUAGAAAAGAAGAUAAUACGUCUUGGGGGAUAACAAACCCUUGACUUUGACAAAUCUGACCUCAAAUCAGGUAGGACUACCCGCUGAACU
rnacentral:rRNA from 1 species